AAGUCGUGAGGCGGAGCUAAUCCCUUAAAGCCAUUCUCAGUUCGGAUUGUAGGCUGAAACUCGCCUACAUGAAGCGGGAGUUACUAGUAAUCGCAGAUCAGAAUGCUGCGGUGAAUGCGUUCCCGGGCCUUGUACACACCGCCCGUCACACCAUGGAAGUCUGCAAUGCCCGAAGCCGGUGGCCUAACCACUUAUGUGGAAGGAGCCGUCUAAGGCAGGGCAGAUGACUGGGGUGAAGUCGUAACAAGGUAUC
rnacentral:rRNA from 1 species